rnacentral:tRNA from 1 species
GGGGAUUUAGCUCAGUGGUAGAGCGCUUGCCUGGCAACGGCAAGGCCCUAGGUUCAGUCCCCA